rnacentral:rRNA from 1 species
AAUGAUAGGAAUGCUUAGUGGCGGACCGGUGAGUAACGCGUGAGGAACCUGCCUUUCAGAGGGGGACAACAGUUGGAAACGACUGCUAAUACCGCAUGACGCAUUUUGAUCGCAUGGUCGAAAUGCCAAAGAUUUAUCGCUGAAAGAUGGCCUCGCGUCUGAUUAGAUAGUUGGCAGGGCAACGGCCUACCAAGGCGACGAUCAGUAGCCGACCUGAGAGGGUGACCGGCCACAUUGGGACUGAGACACGGCCCAAACUCCUACGGGAGGCAGCAGUGGGGAAUAUUGCACAAUGGGGGAAACCCUGAUGCAGCGACGCCGCGUGAGCGAAGAAGUAUUUCGGUAUGUAAAGCUCUAUCAGCAGGGAAGAAGAAAUGACGGUACCUGACUAAGAAGCACCGGCUAAAUACGUGCCAGCAGCCGCGGUAAUACGUAUGGUGCAAGCGUUAUCCGGAUUUACUGGGUGUAAAGGGAGCGCAGGCGGAAGGCUAAGUCUGAUGUGAAGGCCCGGGGCUCAACCCAGGUACUGCAUUGGAAACUGGUCAUCUAGAGUGUCGGAGGGGUAAGUGGAAUUCCUAGUGUAGCGGUGAAAUGCGUAGAUAUUAGGAGGAACACCAGUGGCGAAGGCGGCUUACUGG